GCCCGGGUAGCUCAAUCGGUAGAGCGUGUGGCUCUUAUGAACGGUUUCUCUCAUUCAUAUGCUCGGAACAAAUCACUAGAUCACCUCAAGGUCGUGGGUUCGAGUCCCACCUCGGGCU